rnacentral:lncRNA from 1 species
CCUGGGAUCUCUACCUAAAAGGAGGAGGUUAGAACACAGAGAUUGACCAUGCCUACAGGGACAACUGGAAAACAAAUGAAACCAUAAAACCAAGCACUCACGAAAUCUUUGUCCUCCCAGUUGACUUAAGAAUACUUGCGAAGAAAAUGUGGCCUCUUUAGAUCUCAGAUCCCUUGUUUCCAACUGGUUCAAAUAAAUAGAAAACUCUUCAUUCCUAUGGUACUUCUUAGAGAUAAACCACACGCAUGUAUCAGAGAAAACAACUCAGCCUGGUAAAUGAAUAGGAAAAACUUGGGUUAGAAUUCUAUUUCUUUCAAGGUAGAGAGCAAAUUUUCGUAAUAUCACAUGGACAUACAGACCAAGCCAUGCAUGGCACUAUCUACACAAUUAAGGCAAAGAACACAAAAACUUGGACAUGAAUGUUCACAGCAGCAUUAUUCAUAAUAGUCCAAAAAUGGAAACAACCGAAAUGCCCACCAACUGAUGCGUGAAUAAACAAAAUGUGGUGCAUCCAUUCAAUGGAAUAUUAUUCAGCCAUUAAAAAGGAUAAAUUACUGAUACAUGCUACAACAUGUAUGAACUUCAAAAACAUAUGCUAAGUGAAAGAAGCCGGCCAUCAAGGACCACAAAUUGUAUUAUUCAAUUUAUAUGAAAUUCUAAAGUAGGCAAAUCUAUAAAGACAAAAUAGUUUAGUGGUUGUAUAGGGCUGGGAUCGGGAGAGGAGAGUAAGAGUGACUGCCAGUGAGCAAGAGGUUUCUGGUGAAAACGUG